ensembl:lncRNA
UGAGAGCCAUGGAAAGGUAGAGAGAGGUUUCCACCAUUAAUAGAAAUCUUGGAUUAACAGUCUUUGGAAACAGCUUGCAUAAAAAGAAUGAAGGGUUGUGUGUAUCUCCAGAAGGUGCCCCCACAACAUCCUGCUGGCUCCCUUUGGUGAGUGUAAAACGGCAUGCAGCAGGGAGCUAUACAGAGAAAGUAUAGUAAAUUGAGAGGAGUAAGCAUGCCGGUAUGGAUUACAAGGGAAGCGUGCAAAAACUGUAGGACCCAUGUAAGAAUUGAGUAAAACCCAUUUUUCCCUCAACUACACAACAGAAGAAAAAUGAGGCAAUAAUAUUCUGCCAGUAAUGGAAAAAUGAAAUGUCUGUGUAGAUCUACGGAUCUUGAAAAACCUUACAUUUGGAGAAGCAUCUUCACUCAGGAUUCUCAUGCUACAGCUUCAGUAGAAAACACAUCUAAAGUCAUGAAGGAACACCAGUUUCCGAUGGACCACAUUAUGAUACAAAACUGUAUGACUCUGUAUGGGAACUGUUGAACCACGGCCUGAACCUCUGAUUGAUCACCUGAGGCAAGCACUGAGUCAGCUGCAGGAGCACAGGUGAAGGCAAUUCAGCUGUGUGGCCGGAAGGGCUGAAGCCUGGCUGCACCUCUCCUAGACCCCAUUUAAGGGCUGACUGCCACCGAAGAAGGAUCUCUUUCCAGAGAUUGCUCCUCUUUGAGUUUCUCCUGCAGUCCUACAACACGGUUCACAUCAGGCUGGGUAGAUUUCUGCGCAGUUCCCAGCUGAGUCACCAGAGAGGGGCCCGCCUUCAUCAUGGAUCAAUUUGAUUUCAAGCCCUGACAAAUACCCAGCUUCAAGACGGGGGACAAACUGUAAUGUGCUUUAUGAGAACACAAGGAAAUGAUGAAAAGUUCAAGAGUGACAGCUUGAAGUUCUGUAUGCAUACAAAAAGGACAACGUGAAUAAUGUCAGCAUGCACUUCCCCUUCCCUUCAGGAGCUCCAGAAUAUUUUAGAUGUGUAAAAAGAAUGUACUACUGUGACCUGACAUUACAAGUAUUUGAGGGGCAAAACCACAGCACUUCUAUAUUGACAGAUCACAUACUCUUAAUGCUGAGAUAUAUUUAUCUAUCUAGUACUCUAAGAUGCUGAAGGGGUAGGAUGUGCUUGAGAUAAAAAUAUGUUGGUACUGUUGAAUCAUACCAAAAACUUAACUUAAAAGACCUUCCUCUGACAAAAGCAACAACAACAAAACUGAAACAUAAAAUAUGCUAGACCUUCUUAUUUAAAUAGUAUUUGAAUUGAGCCAUUCUGACUACAAAGGCUUGAAGCCUGGAUACAGCCCUGAACUAAUUUCCUGCCUUUUGCUUUUGUUUGUCAGUUAACGUCAUACAGAUCAUGUCAUAUAAAUGAAGCUGAACACUGUUUAGGUCUUAGUGUUAGCAAACAAGAAAUCAUGAUUUGAUUCUUGCAUUCUGUGCCUCUGUCCUUGAGCCAACUCUGUGUGCUUUGUGCUUGCUACAGCACUGCACGUAUAACUGAUUGUUGGUAAUACUGAAAAUGACAUGCAUAUUGAAAUGCUUGCAAGACUGAAGUUUUUAACAUAAAAUAAAUGAGUACUUUGCUUUUGGGUUU